AUCACUCUGCAGAUUCCGUGAAUGGAUAGCACACGGGGCGAGCCAACACUUCACAAACGGGAGCACGGUAACGUGGCGUGGAUGUGAUAGCCAUCCGGCAAGACGGAAGCGCCCAAUCGGCACCCACCUGCUUAUGCAGGUUCGCACCCACUGUCCCCACGAUUCUGCGGAGUUUUU
rnacentral:other from 1 species